rnacentral:rRNA from 1 species
UACGGAGGGUGCAAGCAUUAAUCGGAUUUAUUGGGCGUAAAGGGCGCGUAGGCGGAGAUGUAAGUCAGAUGUGAAAUCCCGGGGCUCAACCUCGGAACAGCAUUUGAAACUACAUCCCUAGAGGGUAGACGGAGAAAAUGGAAUUCCACAAGUAGCGGUGAAAUGCGUAGAUAUGUGGAAGAACACCAGUGGCGAAGGCGGUUUUCUAGCUUAUACCUGACGCUAAAGCGCGAAAGCAAGGGGAUCAAACAGG